CAUAUAAUCCUUCGGUCUUAAAAAUUUUGUUUUAUGUUUGUCUAUAAAUAGAUGUAUCUAAAUACUAAGUUGUGACUAGAUACAUUCAUAUAUAGACAAUUUUAAGACAAGAAUUUUGAGACGGAGAGAGUAGUUU
rfam:Hordeum vulgare subsp. vulgare, WGS project CAJW01000000 data, contig: morex_contig_2547092